rnacentral:rRNA from 1 species
GACAGAGGUCCCAAGCGUUAGGCGGAAUCACUGGGCUUAAAGCGUGUGUAGGCGGAUCCGUAAGUACCUUGUGAAAUCCCACGGCUCAACCGUGGAACUGCUGGGUAUACUGCGGGUCUUGAGCCACCUAGGGGCGAGCGGAACAAGUGGUGGAGCGGUGAAAUGCGUAGAUAUCGUUUGGAACGCCGAUGGUGAAAACAGGUCGCUGGGGCUGUGCUGACGCUGAGACACGAAAGCCAGGGGAGCGAACGGG